rnacentral:rRNA from 1 species
ACGCUCGACACCUACGGGAAGCAGCAGUGGGGAAUAUUGCACAAUGGGGGAAACCCUGAUGCAGCGACGCCGCGUGAGCGAAGAAGUAUUUCGGUAUGUAAAGCUCUAUCAGCAGGGAAGAAACUGACGGUACCUGACUAAGAAGCACCGGCUAAAUACGUGCCAGUAGCCGCGGUAAUCUGAGCGGGCUGGCAAGGC